UGGGGAAUAUUGCACAAUGGGCGAAAGCCUGAUGCAGCAACGCCGCGUGAGUGAUGAAGGCCUUCGGGUUGUAAAGCUCUGUCUUUUGGGACGAUAAUGACGGUACCAAAGGAGGAAGCCACGGCUAACUACGUGCCAGCAGCCGCGGUAAUACGUAGGUGGCAAGCGUUGUCCGGAUUUACUGAGCGUAAAGGAUGCGUAGGCGGAUUUUUAAGUGAGAUGUGAAAUACCCGGGCUUAACUUGGGUGCUGCAUUUCAAACUGGGAAUCUAGAGUGCGGGAGAGGAGAAUGGAAUUCCUAGUGUAGCGGUGAAAUGCGUAGAGAUUAGGAAGAACACCAGUGGCGAAGGCGAUUCUCUGGACCGUAACUGACGCUGAGGCAUGAAAGCGUGGGUAGCAAACAGGAUUAGAUACCCUGGUAGUCCACGCCGUAAACGAUGAGUACUAGGUGUAGGAGGUAUCGACCCCUUCUGUGCCGCAGUUAACACAAUAAGUACUCCGCCUGGGAAGUACGAUCGCAAGAUUAAAACUCAAAUGAAUUGACGGGGUCAUAGCUG
rnacentral:rRNA from 1 species